UGAACGCUGGCGGCGUGCCUAACACAUGCAAGUCGAACGGGACUCAGCCCUUCGGGACUGAGUUUAGUGGCGGACUGGUGAGUAACGCGUGAGGAACCUGCCUUUCAGAGGGGGACAACAGUUGGAAACGACUGCUAAUACCGCAUGACGCAUGACUGGGGCAUCCCGGACAUGCCAAAGAUUUUAUCGCUGAAAGAUGGCCUCGCGUCUGAUUAGAUAGUUGGUGGGGUAACGGCCCACCAAGUCGACGAUGCGUAGCCGACCUGAGAGGGUGAUCGGCCACAUUGGGACUGAGACACGGCCCAGACUCCUACGGGAGGCAGCAGUGGGGAAUAUUGCACAAUGGGGGGAACCCUGAUGCAGCAACGCCGCGUGAGUGAUGACGGUCUUCGGAUUGUAAAACUCUGUCUUUAGGGACGAUAAUGACGGUACCUAAGGAGGAAGCCACGGCUAACUACGUG
rnacentral:rRNA from 1 species